UAGGGGAGCUGAGUGGCGGACGGGUGAGUAACACGUGAGAAUCUGCCUUCAGGACGGAGAUAACCGCUGGAAACGGCGGCUAAUCCCCGAUGAGCCUAAGGGUGAAAAGCGUUAGCGCCUGAAGAGGAGCUCGCGGCUGAUUAGCUAGUUGGUGGGGUAAGAGCCUACCAAGGCAACGAUCAGUAGCUGGUCUGAGAGGAUGGUCAGCCACACUGGGACUGAGACACGGCCCAGACUCCUACGGGAGGCAGCAGUGGGGAAUCUUCCGCAAUGGGCGCAAGCCUGACGGAGCU
rnacentral:rRNA from 1 species